rnacentral:rRNA from 1 species
AAAACAUCUUUUCUAGUAUUUUAUUUGAAAUCUAACCUGCCCAAUGAUGAAUAUUUAAUGGCCGCGGUAUAUUGACCGUGCAAAGGUAGCAUAAUCAUUAGUUUAUUAAUUGUGAACUUGUAUGAAUGGUUGGACGUGGUGUGUACUGUCUCAUAUUGAAUUAUAUAAUUUAAAUAUUAAGUUAAAAUGCUUAAAUUUAUUUAUAGGACGAGAAGACCCUAUAGAUCUUUAUUAAUUAAUUUAUUAUUAUUUUUUGGUUUAUUUAUUUUUAAUAACUUUAUUUGUUUUGUUGGGGUGACUUGGAUAUAUGCUUAACUAUUUAUUUUUUAUUCAAUUAUUUUUGUUUAUAUGACCCUUUAUUAUUGUUAUAAGAUUAAGAUACCUUAGGGAUAACAGCGUAAUUCUUUUUGAGAGUUCAUAUCGACGAAGGAGAUUGCGACCUCGAUGUUGGAUUAAGAUUAUAUUUGGGUGUAGUUGCUUGAAUAAUAAGUCUGUUCGACUUUUAAAUUCUUACAUGAUCUGA